rnacentral:rRNA from 1 species
GACGAACGCUGGCGGCGUGCUUAACACAUGCAAGUCGAACGGAAAGGCCUCUUUCGGGGGGUACUCGAGUGGCGAACGGGUGAGUAACACGUGAGUAACCUGCCCUUGACUUUGGGAUAACUUCAGGAAACUGGGGCUAAUACCGGAUAGGAGCUCCUGCUGCAUGGUGGGGGUUGGAAAGUUUCGGCGGUUGGGGAUGGACUCGCGGCUUAUCAGCUUGUUGGUGGGGUAGUGGCUUACCAAGGCUUUGACGGGUAGCCGGCCUGAGGGGGUGACAGGCGACAUUGGGACUGAGAUACGGCCCAGACUCCUACGGGAGGCAGCAGUGGGGAAUAUUGCACAAUGGGUGGAAGCCUGAUGCAGCAACGCCGUGUGCGGGAUGACGGCCUUCGGGUUGUAAACCGCUUUCGCUCAUGACGAAGCUUUGUGUGACGGUAGUGGGUAAAGAAGCACCGGCUAACUACGUG